UUACUAAAAUUAAAUUCUGUUUGUUCCUGCAUAAAUCUUUUUAGUACUAUACUGCUUUGGAAUGAAUUUUUUUGGGGGACAACAGCAGGAUUAGCGCCAUCUUCUAGAUGCCAUCAGGUAGGUGCGCUGGCGUAGGUGUUUGUUGUAGCAUUAUUAUCCUAUUCCCCCCUUUUAAAAAUGUUUGUAAGACGCCUGAAAUUUGUAUAAGUUAGUUGUAUAAGUAGUUGAAUAAGAAUUGGUGAGACUUGGAAAAUAGAAGAGGGCAGAGAAGAUGGAAGAGGAUUGCUUUGAAAUAGAAGGAGAGGAGAUAGAAGAUGUUUGAGGAAAGGAGGAGGAUUUUGUUUACUGUGACAUGUUAUUGGUAUCUUGGACAUCAAGUUUCAUUUAUUUAUGUAUUAAACAAGCAUAUCUAUUGGUGGAAAUGUAGAAUAGCAGAUGUUAUAACAACUUGGAUGAAUUAUCAGAAACAUCCAAGAAGUUUUGACAUAAUUUAAACUGGGAAAAGGCUCACAAAUGACCAAUUUAUUCUACAGUAGAUACAGGACAUUAAAUUGACUUCAACAUCGCAGAUAUCUCUCAAAAAUGAUAUCUGUUCGAGUGAUGUACUGGGCGUUAACAGUUGCUGUUACAAAUCUGCAAAUGAGUUAGAACUGUACAUAAGUUUGAUGAAUGCUGGAGGAAUUUUUUGAUCGGAAUGAUACUGAAAAUCUUACUUACAAAUGACAAUUUCAAGAUACAAUCAAUAGUACUUAGAUUAAUUGGCCUUCGUUACCAUUGCGCUAUGAAAAUGUAAGCAAUAUAAAUUGGUAUUAAUGGACGUUUCGACAGCUGUUUCCAGUCCAAGUUCCAGUUUUAAUGGAUAAUCUUUAAUGGACACAGAAAAAUGACAUUCACUGGAUUGACUUCAACACCUGUUGCCUUUUAAUAAUGGUAUACAAUGGGACAAUUGGUGUUAGAAGUCAACAAGUAGUACUAGUUGCAAAUAAUAUAUUAUGGCGGACAUCAAAAAACUUUAAAUGGAAUGAAAGUUGCAGAAAAAGACUCAGAGGACUGUACUUAAUAGCUGUUAGAGUGGAUGCAGUCCUUCAUCAAUGUGAGCUGAACAAAUUGAUGGUAAAGGACAUUUUGACAGCUGCUGUCACAACUCAACGAACAAGUUGCAGCUUUGAAGGAAAAUUUUUGAUUGGAUACAGAAAAAUGUCAGUCGUUACAGGAUGUAAAGUUAAUAGAACCAGGGUUGGGCUCGACAUCUGUUGCCUUUUAAUAAUGGUAUACGAAAAGACAAUUGCUAUUAGAAACAAAUAAGUUCUACUAGCUGCAACUAAUGGUGGUCAUAAAAGAGAUUUAAAUGAAAUGAGAGAGAAACUUGUGCAGAAGAAAUCGAGGAAAACCAUUUUGAACUACUGUUACUUAAUAGCUCUUAGAGGGGAUCCAGUUCUUCAUCAAUGGUAUACGCUACAAUCCGUACUAUCUGCAAAUAUUAUGGUGGACAUCAAAAAGCUUUAAAUGGAAUGAAACUUGCAGGAAAAGACUCAGAAAACCCAUUUAGAACUGUACUUAAUAGCUGUUGAAAAGUGGUCGGCAGUCCUUUAUCAAUGAUAUCUCCGCAUUUUUCUUAACAAUGGAUAUCAACAGUUUCUCCUACUCCUCACUUUCCUCUUUCACUCAACAUAAAGCAGACUCAAUAUUCCUCAAUGCCGCAAUGAAGCUAACGAACCUUGGUGAGUUCGUUAGCUUCAUUAAUAGUGUUAUUGUUUCAAUAAAUUUCUUUAUUGGUUUUUAUCUUCUUACUAUAUAAUUAUAUCAGGCGUCAUUUUAAUGUUAAUUUUUUGUAAAAUUUUGAUAAUCUGGACAGAAAUCUUUUUCUUUUUCUUAAACUUUUGCAAAAUAAAACAUUAGUUAAGAACAAUACUUUAUUUUAUAAAUAGGACCAUCAUCUCUAUUUAUAUUGCCUUUAUAUUAAUUGCCUCUAGUUUGAGGCAUGUUUGAUUAAUUUUAAAUCAUUAAAAUCUAUGCAUUAAUCUUUAUGAAAAAUAUGUUGAGCAAUGUAAUAGUAAUCUGUUAUAAUUUUUCAUCUCUUAAGCCUUUUUUCAAUCUCAUUUAGCUUUUAAUUUUGCAUUCAUGAUUAAAAUUCAUUAAAGGUCAUUAGAUAUUGUAAUUAUUAAUUAAAUUGUUUUAAUAGAAUUAAAGACAUUCUUUAUUAAUUUGUAUCAAUACCAAUUAUUUAUAGUAGUAGUUCUUUAAUUAUUUUUGUCUUAUACUAUUUAUAAUUUCCUAAGCUACUCAUUUAUUUCGGAUUAUCAAAAUUAUAAAUUUUAUACUUGCGCAGCUGCGUCACUAUAACUCUAUGAACACAAGUAUUAUUUUGGU
rnacentral:lncRNA from 1 species